AUACGUAGGUGACAAGCGUUAUCCGGAUUUACUGGGCGUAAAGGGCGUGUAGGCGGUCUUGCAAGUCAGAAGUGAAAUUCCUGAGCUCAACUCGGGCGCUGCUUCUGAAACUGCAGGACUUGAGUGCUGGAGGGGAUAGCGGAAUUCCCGGUGUAGCGGUGAAAUGCGUAGAGAUCGGGAGGAACACCAGUGGCGAAGGCGGGUAACUGGACUGUAACUGACGCUGAGGCGCGAAAGUGUGGGGAGCAAACAGGAUUAGAUACCCUGGUAGUCCACACCGUAAACGAUGAAUGCUAGGUGUAGGGGGUAUCGACCCCUUCUGUGCCGCAGUCAACACAAUAAGCAUUCCGCCUGGGGAGUACGGCCGCAAGGUUGAAACUCAAAUGAAUUGGCGGGG
rnacentral:rRNA from 1 species